GUACCAGACUCCUACGGGAGGCAGCAGUGAGGAAUAUUGGUCAAUGGGCGGGAGCCUGAACCAGCCAAGUCGCGUGAGGGAUGACGGCCCUAUGGGUUGUAAACCUCUUUUGCCGGGGAGCAAAGUGCCGCACGUGUGCGGUUUGGAGAGUACCCGGAGAAAAAGCAUCGGCUAACUCCGUGCCAGCAGCCGCGGUAAUACGGAGGAUGCGAGCGUUAUCCGGAUUUAUUGGGUUUAAAGGGUGCGUAGGCGGUAUUUUAAGUUAGUGGUAAAACGUCGGGGCUUCACCUUGAUUGGCCAUUAAAACUGGAGUACUAGAGUACAGACGAGGUAGGCGGAAUAAGUUAAGUAGCGGUGAAAUGCUUAGAUAUAACUUAGAACCCCGAUAGCGAAGGCAGCUUACCAGACUGUUACUGACGCUGAAGCACGAGAGCGUGGGUAGCGAACAGGAUUAGAUACCCCUGUAUG
rnacentral:rRNA from 1 species